GAUCAAGUGAUGAGAGAAAACUGCAACAAUAUGAAGGGCUUAGCCCCAGGAUUCCCAGUAUUUAAGUCUCUGAUGAUU